rfam:Otolemur garnettii contig145608, whole genome shotgun sequence.
GAGACGAUACUUUCAGGGAUCCUUUCUAUAUUAGGUUCCAGGGAAGUUUCUCUGAAAGCACACGAGGAGGAGGUGCCUUGUUCUCUCCUGAGGGAGAAGCUGGUCUUGGUGUCACCUUGCUGCCAUCUCCCUUUGCCACUGGUGAUCACUGUCUCCCCUGGGGGAGUAAGAAGGAGAGGAUGCUGUCUGAGUGGU